GAAAUGUUGUCGCGCAAAGAAUAGGGAAUUGCCAAUGUCCGAGCCUUGAGCUGAUGCUGAGCCCGGCGACAAUCACCGAGGUGUCUCGUAUCGUCUACCACGGGUUCGCUUUCGUCCCGGUGCCCACCUCGGCCGCCGCGACAUUGCACCUGGCGCUUGCCUCGCAGGUGAUUCCGGGAACACCUCCCACGUGUCGCCUUCAUCAAUGGGGCACCUGUCACCUUGUCCUUCCAGAAUGUGGACAGUCAGUAGAGAAUUGUAUGCGUGUCCUACCUGGGUCAGUUCACCUCAGAGGCAGGGAUUGAACUGCAGUCAGAUGCACAUCCACAACCCCUUCUGCUGGAGAAUGACAUGUCAUCCCUACAUGCCAGUGUGGAGCUCCCCUGUCUCCCCUCCCUCCCCAGGGCCCGAGGGUGCCCCUGCCCCCUGUCUGCUACUGGAGGAGGACCAGGAACCACUGGAGUCUCAUACACAGAUUGAGCCAAAGAAACGUAAAGGUGGCUGGCCAAAGGGAAAGAAGAGGCAACCUCCGAGAGAGUUAACUGUCCCCAGAGUUCCAACAACAGGGAGGACUCUUGGGAGGCUCUUGGGAGGCCCUCACAGGUCUGUAUGUGUGUACAUGUCUGCAUGUGUGUGUACAUAUGUUCCUGUGCAAUAUGCAAUAUCGUUCUCUGCAAGUGUUUUUUUUGUUGUAAGCUGAUGCAAUAGCAGUGUUUCACCAGUAAGUGGCUGUAUAGGGUUCAAGUCAGUUGUGUUCUCUUUUCAAAGUGCUGUUGAGAAUGCUUAUUGUGUUCUAUGUUUUUUUGAAAGCUUUGUGUGUGUUUCUGCUCAGAGGAGUUUGAGAAGGACAGAGGCAGCCGGCAGCAGGCUCCAGGGAUGGAGAGAAGCCCUGUGGGUGAGGAAGAGGAGGCAGAGUUGGCUCGUACGUUGGGUCUGUCCUCGCUGGACAUCAGUGUGCUGCAGGAGCUGCUGCUCAGACACAUACUGACCAGCACUGACCACUAUUUGCCAUGACCACAUUCAUGACUUGGACAAAGCCAAUUUCUAAAAUGGCUGAAGCUGCGGAUCUAUAGCUAACCUCCCCGUCUCGUCUGCCUGGAUCUGUUUUCCCCAGAGCUGAAGACCCGAAUCACGUUCUGCGCAUGUUUUCUUACCUAAAUUUAGAUCUUCUUGAGUUAUACAGUGUUGUUUUGAAUUAUGGACAGUGAGCGAACUUUAGAGCAGUUGGUGGAAACAAUCUGUCGCAUAGUCUACCUGUGUUUAGUUUCUAUCACAGCACAUAUUUUGCCUAGUGGCGCAGGCUAUUGAGUUUUUGCCAAAAAUGUGACCAUUUGCACAAACAACCUGAAGUUCUUAAGAAAUUUGAUUGUUUUCUGUCUUACAGUAACCUUAUACUAUGCUAUUAUGUUUGGUUAUGUUACAUGGAAUCAAUACGUGAUCUUGCAGACAUUGAUUCAGCUUUGAUAUAACUUUAUUAAACAAAUACCAUUUAUGUCAGACUAGCCUGAUCUCUACAAGACUGUGCGACCAUUAGAGGAUCCCGCACAUGCACAGAAGUCGUGAAGAGGGCUCGACAAAACCUACUCCCCCUCAGGAGACUAAAAAGAUUUGGCAUGGGUCCUCAGAUCCUCAAAAGGUUCUACAGCUUCACCAUCGAGAGCAUCACUGCCUGGUAUGGCAACUGUUCGGCCUCCGACCGCAAGGCACUACAGAGGGUAGUGCGUACGGCCCAUUACAUCACUGGGGCAAAGCUUCCUGCCAUCCAGGACUUCUAUACCAGGCGGUGUUAGAGGAAGGCCCUAAAAAAUUGUCAAAGACUCGAGCCACCCUGGAGUAGACUGUUCUCUCUGCUACAGCACAGCAAGCGGUACCGGAGCAUCAAGUCUAGGUCCAAGAGGCUUCUAAACAGCUUCUACCACCAAGCCAUAAGACUCCUGAACAUCUAAUCAAAUGGCUACCCAGACUAUUUGCAUUGCCCACCCCCCACCCCCAUCCCCUCUUUUACCCCGCUGCUACUCUCUGUUAUUAUCUAUGCAUAGUCACUUUAAUAACUCUACCUACAUGUACAUAUUACCUCAAUUACCUUGAUUAACCGGUGCCCCUGCACAGGUACCCAUCUGUAUAUAGUCUUGCUUUUGUUAUUUUACUGCUGCUCUUUAAUUACUUGUUACUUUUAUUUCUUAUUCUUAUUUUUUAUUAUUAUAUAUAUAUUUUUUAACUGCAUUGUUGGUUAGGAGCUUGUAAAUAAGCAUUUCACUGUUGUAUUCGGCUGAUGUGACAAAUACAAUUUGAUUUGAAGCUUCAGGAACUUUAGUGUUGGAAAGAGGGGUCCAGGAAAGUUGGAUCUGCAGCCACUCCGUUCUAACAACCACACUGAAACACUGUCUUUAUUCCUGCACCUCUCUCUCAGUGAGGGACUUUGAGUUGCAGCUCUUGGGAGUGUUUCUGGCCCAGGAGAGGCGGAGCCAAGAUCAGCUGAGGGCGGAGCUAAACAACCUGCAGCUGGGGUUAUGCUCAGGUCAAGGACCAGCUUUCCCAUGACUCCUCACCACUCAAACAACAGUGAAUUAAAGUGUUACUGUCUCCCAUUGUAGAAUCC
ensembl:lncRNA